GAUGAAGAACGUAGCGAAAUGCGAUAAGUAGUGUGAAUUGCAGAAUUCAGUGAAUCAUCGAAUCUUUGAACGCACAUUGCGCCCUUUGGUAUUCCUUAGGGCAUGCCUGUUCGAGCGUCAUUUAAACCUUCAAGCUAAGCUUGGUGUUGGGUGACUGUCCGCUUCACGGCGGACUCGCCUCAAAAUUAUUGGCGGCCGGUACAUUGGCUUCGAGCGCAGCAGAAACGCGAACUCGGGCCCGUCGUAUUGGCUCCCAGAAGCUAUCUUCACAAUUUUGACCUCGGGUCAGGUAGGGAUACCCGCUGAACUUAAGCAUAUCAAUAAGCGGAGGA
rnacentral:misc_RNA from 1 species